GACGAACGCUGGCGGCGUGCUUAACACAUGCAAGUCGAACGGAAAGGCCCAGCUUGCUGGGUACUCGAGUGGCGAACGGGUGAGUAACACGUGGGUGAUCUGCCCCUGACUUUGGGAUAAGCCUGGGAAACUGGGUCUACUACCGGAUAUUCAUUUUUCCUCGCAUGGGGAUUUGUGGAAAGCUUUUGCGGUUCGGGAUGGGCCCGCGGCCUAUCAGCUUGUUGGUGGGGUAAUGGCCUACCAAGGCGACGACGGGUAGCGGCCCUGAGAGGGUGAUCGGCCGCCAUGGGAGUGAGAAACGGCCGCGCAUCCUACGGGAGGCAGCAGUGGGGAAUAUUGCACAAUGGGCGGAAGCCUGAUGCAGCGACGCCGCGUGAGGGAUGUAGGACUUCGGGUUGUAAACCUCUUUCAGCUCCGAAGAAGCGCAAGUGACGGUAGGAGCAGAAGAAGCACCGGCCAACUACGUG
rnacentral:rRNA from 1 species